rnacentral:rRNA from 1 species
UACGUAGGGUGCAAGCGUUGUCCGGAAUUAUUGGGCGUAAAGAGCUCGUAGGCGGUCUGUCGCGUCUGCUGUGAAAACUCAGGGCUUAACCCUGAGCUUGCAGUGGGUACGGGCAGACUAGAGUGCGGUAGGGGAGACUGGAAUUCCUGGUGUAGCGGUGAAAUGCGCAGAUAUCAGGAGGAACACCGGUGGCGAAGGCGGGUCUCUGGGCCGUAACUGACGCUGAGGAGCGGAAAGCAUGGGGAGCGAAACAGG